GCUAUCGUCUGUCGCCACAAUCAUACGGACUUUUAACUGUUGCGCUAGUCGCACGCACAUUUGCUCGCUGACCAGAGUGAUAUUGAACUCAAAAGUUCAGUGGAUAUUAAUAAUAAAUAUACCUCGUCACUGAGUUGGGGUUGCUAAACGGAUAACUCUCUUCAAUAACGGAUUUUAGGAGAUUGUAAGGGAUAGCUACCAAACUUCAAGGAAUAACUCGUCAAAUGAAUAUUCACGCACGUUUUCCAUCCUACUAAAUGUACUUUGGUUUCUGCUGGGUCGUUCUACUUCCCUGCGAAAAAGUUACGGAUGUUUUUCAGCGGAUGAAGUACUCUCUGUAAUCACUUUCACAUUGCCUCGUUGAUUAGGCCUACCAUAUUGGUCCUGGGCUAAUAAUUCACCUGGAGUUAAUUCAUGGAUAUUGCCAAAACGUGAAGAGCCGUCAAGGAUAUUAAAGCAGGCUCACAAAAGUGUACUAAGCCGAGACGGGAAACGAACUUCACAUCGCAUACAGCAGACGACAGGCUUAACAGACGACAGACUGCGCAGACGGUAGACGGGAGGAAAGACGCGGGGAAGACUGGGCGAAUAAUUAGGCGGGAAAUGAGACAUCGACAUACCAUCUCACAUUUAGACAGCCUCGCCUGUGAGCUAUUUCUACCAUUGUGACGUCAGAGCCUACCAUCAAGGUCAUCAUACUUUUGUGACAUCGCCAAACAGACGACAUCCUGUCAAGCAAGACUAGGUCAGCCAAAUUAUUACAAUCUGGGCACACUUUGGAUCGCCUGACCAACCAGAAAGUUACCAGAACCGCGACAUCAAAACGCAAUCAUCAAGAAAAUCCAGGGCAUAGAUCAAAUUUGAUCAUACGGUUGGUGUUUUCAUCGUGACCCCGGAAACUUGGCGUUGAAAGGUUCGUUAGACAAUUUCUGGUCUUUUUCACUGGAAUCUACAGUCUCUGUUCCUUUGUAGGAAGGUGUAAAUUAUCAUCGUUAUACAUUGCUAUAGUGAUUUAUGACCUGCAUAAGACUUCAAGAGCUCGUCAUUAAGGAAGAUCACUUUCGCCUCUC